GAUGAACGCUGGCGGCGUGCCUAAUACAUGCAAGUCGAGCGGCAAGGCUCCUUCGGGAGUACACGAGCGGCGGACGGGUGAGUAAUACGUAGGAACGUACCCCAAAGCGAGGAAUAACCAGCCGAAAGGUUGGCUAAUACCGCAUAUGCUCUACGGAGUAAAGCAGCAAUGCGCUUUGGGAACGGCCUGCGUCCGAUUAGCUAGUUGGUAAGGUAAAGGCUUACCAAGGCGACGAUCGGUAGCUGUUCUGAGAGGAUGAUCAGCCACACUGGAACUGAGACACGGUCCAGACUCCGACGGGAGGCAGCAGUAGGGAAUUUUCCACAAUGGGCGAAAGCCUGAUGGAGCAACGCCGCGUGCAGGAUGAAGGCCUUAGGGUUGUAAACUGCUUUUAUCUGUGACGAUUAUGACAGUAGCAGAUGAAUAAGGAUCGGCUAACUCCGUGCCAGCAGCCGCGGUAA
rnacentral:rRNA from 1 species